rnacentral:lncRNA from 1 species
AUGGCUCCUAGUAAUUGGAGAACAUCUCUGUCUAGGAGAGAAACUGGACAGGAUGGAAUGACCAGAAAAGAGUUUGUGAAUGGGUGUCGCUUCAGGGCACAGGUCAACUGAGCAAUUCAGUUUGGGUAGAAAGAUUUGCUGUCAAUCUCCAUAACUGAGACCUGGGAAGAAAACAGAGGCCCAGAGUGGGCAGGCAAGACAGAAUUUGUAGCCUCUGUGUGCACAAGAAAGGUUUUAGACUUAACCACUACCUGAACCAUUAUCCCGGGCUCCAUGAGUGAAAUGGGGGUCCUUGAGUCUGGGCUUCCUCAGUCUUCUGUGAACACCAACAGUUCAAGAGAAGGGACCACCUAGCUGGUCAUACCCCCAGGUAGAGGCACUAAGGAAGGGCCAGCCGUGGGGCAGUCACAUUUCCAAUAUUCUGUCUGCUUACAGAUGGGGCAUGGCCUGGAAGGAGGGUGUGGACUUGGGCACUGGUUAGCCCAGUGACCUUCACAUCCACAUUUGAAGCAAGUCCCUGGCAGAGAGGAAUGCUGAAUCCCCCAUGAAGCUCUUGCUUGAGCUGUAGGCCUCAGGGCCGCUGGUAAGGCCUGGGUUUGGAAUGUUACAUUUUUCUGUAAUUGGGCCUGCCUGGGUAGUUCAGCUGACUCCUCCUGGGCAUUAUAAACUUUAAAGGCCAUUUUCACCAGAUCUUGGAUAGGAGUCUGAGGGCCCUCCUCAGCUUGUUUGAGCUUUUUUCUAAUAUCAUAGGUUGAUUGAGCCUGCUGGAUGUGGGCUUGCUCAUCCUGGGUAAGGAUGAAGGACAGAACAAAAUAGACAUCAUGUCAGAUAAGAUCAUAAGUCUGGGAGAGGUAUUAACAUUCCUUAACAUAAGUAGAAGUGUCAGCAGAGAAGGACCCAAGGCGCUUUUCAAUCUGGGAAGAUCUUGAAGUGAGAAUGGGACAUGUACUUGGCCAAUCCCUUCAGCAUCAGCCACUUCCCUGAAAGGACAAAGGAACUUUGGGUUAUCUGGUAAGAGGGUCUGGUGGGACUGGGUGUGGGCACUGACAGGAGAAAUGAGGGGUGAGUGGGUGGAGUUGAUCAUGGCUGUAGGCGAGGAGGAAGGAGAGAAGGUGGAGAGGGAUGGAGGAGGAGGGGAAAGGUUGUGUCAGUAGAAGAGGUGGGCAGGGAAGCCAUGGCUGCAGGAGAAGAGGGAGUUGUGGGGAGUGAGGGAGGAGGAGCUGUGGUGGCAGGAGGAGGGGUGGAGGGGUGAGAGUGGUGGCAGGAGCAGAUUGGUGUGUAUGGGGAGGAGGAAGAUGGGUAAGGUAGGGCUGAGAGCAGCUCGGGUGGUUCUGAGAAUGUGGAAAGACAGGUUGAAGAACAAUGGGAAGGAGAUUGGGAUUUUCCUAACAAGGAAGACUGGAGCAGAACAGAUAGAACAGAGAGGAGGACGGAGGUAGAGAGCAGAGGGAAGGAUGGAGCAUAUCUCAAAAAUCCUGAACAUUUUUGCCCAUUUUCCUGUCCAGAGACAGAAAUUGUCCAAUUCAGUGAGGGUUUCAAAUCAAAAGUUCCUUCUGUGGGCCAUUGUGACUCAUUGUUUAAGUCUGGUUCUUUUUCAAACACUCUCUCUCUCUGGGUUUAUGUUCUGUCUUAAUUCCUUUCAUUCUUUCAGUUGCAUUCUCUCAAAUUCCAUUGAUAUUUUUAAAAGAUUAAUGUUUUGCAUAGUUUGUCUGGCAUGUUCAAAUAUUUUGCAUCAGUGCCAAGAAAAUUAUAGAACAUAGGUGGCGUCAGGUUGUCUUGUAUUGUGAAAUUUCUCUUAUUUGUGUUGACACUUGUACUGCCAAUGGGCUGGAUAUGUCUCUGCUUUUUUUUUAAUCUGGGUUGGAACACAGAGGAGCUUAAACACUGAGCCAGCCACAUCUUCAGCCCUUUUUUUAAAAUUUCCAUUUGGAGAGAAGCUAUCAUUAACUUGCAUAGGGCACCACUGUGUUACAGAAGCUGGCUUUGAAAUUUCAAUCCUCCUACCUCAGUCUCCUAUCUGCUGGGAUUAAAGGCAGGCACUGUCCAGUUGUGUCUCACACUUGUUUUGGAUCCAUUAUUAUCAACUGCCUUCUCCUGGUGCAGUGGGCUAGGGAUGGUUUGGUGUGUGGUGUUGAGUUUCACUCCAGAUGCAUUCCAUUGCCCCUUUUCACUGUUGCAUCUCUAGCUGUGACUACUGAGGCCUGACCCUGGGCCUCAAGUUCCACAGUGUGAAGGAGUGGAAUUCUCUGCUUGUCGAGGGGGUGGGGAGCCUCUGGUAUUCCUGUGGUGUGAUGCAGACAGAAGGGUCUAUGGGUCAUGCCUCUCUACUUCCUCCUGCAGUUGGUAGGGAAGGGCCCACCACCAGAUGAUGUUUCCUUGAGCUCUGAUGCCAUUUGUUUUGUCCCUUAAAAUCUCAUUUUGGGCCAUAUAUGUGUAAGCAAUUAUCCAGACCACUCCUCUGUGAAAUUGGAAUGCUUAUGACAGAAAAUAAAAGAGGUGACUCAAGAUGCCAAUUCUGUGCCCAAAAAAGACUGAAAAUGAAAAAAACUGCCAAAAAUAGUGGGCCCAAUUUGAGGGCCAUAUUGUUUUUAGGAUUGGCAAAGAACUACACCUAAAUAUCCAACACUGGUAGAAAAUUGAAUGAAAAGGAGCUCAGAAGCACCUUGUGGGCGACUAUUGGGAAACAGCUUCUCCAGGUAGAGUAUAGGUGACUUCUUUCAAUGUAACAAUGUUCUCACCUUUGUCUCCAAAUAAGAUUUAUUCACCGGGUGAAUAAAUCUUGAGAACGUUGGAGACUGUGUGAUGCCUGGAGACCUCAAUCAACAUGGAACACAAAAAAAUGACACACACUCUAAAAUGGAGGUAGGGAAAGAGCUGGGUAGGCAGAUGGGAGACUUGGGCUCACCAAGGUCAGGUUUCUCCUAACAGAAAGACCACAGUGGAACAGGAUACAAAGACCACAGAUGCAAGGC